AAUAGAUACCCGGGUAGUCCACGCCGUAAACGAUGAGUGCUAGGUGUUGGGGGGUUCCACCCUCAGUGCUGAAGUUAACACAUUAAGCACUCCGCCUGGGGAGUACGACCGCAAGGUUGAAACUCAAAGGAAUUGACGGGGGCCCGCACAAGCAGUGGAGCAUGUGGUUUAAUUCGAAGCAACGCGAAGAACCUUACCAGGUCUUGACAUCCUUUGACCACUCUAGAGAUAGAGCUUUCCCCUUCGGGGGACAAAGUGACAGGUGGUGCAUGGUUGUCGUCAGCUCGUGUCGUGAGAUGUUGGGUUAAGUCCCGCAACGAGCGCAACCCUUGACCUUAGUUGCCAGCAUUCAGUUGGGCACUCUAAGGUGACUGCCGGUGACAAACCGGAGGAAGGUGGGGACGACGUCAAAUCAUCAUGCCCCUUAUGACCUGGGCUACACACGUGCUACAAUGGAUGAUACAAAGGGUUGCGAAGCCGCGAGGCCAAGCCAAUCCCAAAAAGUCAUUCUCAGUUCGGAUUGUAGGCUGCAACUCGCCUAA
rnacentral:rRNA from 1 species